GAUGAACGCUGGCGGCGUGCUUAACACAUGCAAGUCGAACGAAGAACCUCUUCGGAGGGGCUUAGUGGCGAACGGGUGAGUAACAGGUGGGCAACCUGCUCACGGACCUGGGAUAACUCCAAGAAAUUGGGGCUAAUAACGGAUGUUCACCGCUUCUAGCAUGGGUGGUGGUGGAAUGGGUUUCCGGCUUGGGAUGGGCACGCGGCCUAGCAGCUGGUUGGGGGGGUAGUGGUCUACCAAGGCGACGAGUGGUAGCCGACCCGAGAGGGGAGCCGGCCACACGAGGCCUGAGACACGGCCCAGACUCCUACGGGACGCAGCGGUGGAGAGUAUUGCGCAGUGGGCGGGAGCCAGACGCGGCGACGCCGCGUUGGGGAUGACGGGCUUCGUGUUGUAAACCACUGUCAGCAGAGACGAGGCGCAAGUGACGGUACCUGCAGAAGAAGCACCGGCUAACUACGUG
rnacentral:rRNA from 1 species